CAGUGACAGCUUAUCUAUGAUAAGUGAUAAACAUCUCAACGGCUGAGUGCGUGUGUGUGUGUGCGUGUGUGUGUGUAUACGUGUGUGUGUUUGUUCUAAGGUGUGCAGGUGGCACAUAGGCUGAGCUGUCACACCUCAGAACAAAUUUAAUACUCAUCUCUACUGUUGUCUUUGUUUACAGUCACGUUUUAACAGUGCUCUCUCUCACUCUCUCUCUCUCUCUCUCUUUCUGAAACUUGCUUCACUGAGUCAUAUUUGGACCUUAAAAAAAUUCCACACACACUGUUUACGUAGAUGCAACAAUCAAGCGAAUGAACAGAUUGUUCAGUUUGUGAUGUUGGGCAACUUGAUAGAUUCUUAGCUGGAUUGAGUAACUGUUGUGAUGACAACUAUUGUUAAUGAUCUCCUUACAUGUUGCAUCAGGAAUAUUAAAAACCAAUCUCCAGUCAUAAGGUAAGCAUUUAAACACUCCUUCCUACUACGUCAAACAUACAAACUUAACAAUGCAUGAAUUGGGAGUUUUCACAAAUCAUCAUCAUGACAUACAGUAAUUGUUCAGUAUCCUUAAUUAUAGUACAGUCUGCUUUUUUUGGCUACAUAGUGCUAUAGUAAACCAGAUGACCUGAGACUGAAACAGCCACUUAGCAGAGACAGAUGGUUAGCCACUCCACAUCUGAAACACAACACUGGUAGUUGGUGUUCAUCAUCCUGGCACUGACCUUAAAAAUGGGUCAUAAAGUCUCAAGUGGCCUGAAGCAGCAGGAAAGUUAAUCCAGAGGAAAUACAACAAACUGAGCCGGGUACACCUUUGGACUUAAGUGCUGGUUUAUGAUUAUGCUGGUGGGAGCUCAACAACUGACAUGAGUGCAUGCACACAUAUACGCACACAUCAGUGUCAAAGGUUCACCUGAGCAAGAAGCUAAGACUAAAUCCAUCAUACGACUGAAUCACAGACUGAAUGAAUUAAAAGCCUUGGACUGUAUAGACAUGGAGCUUUAAAAAGUCAGUAUGGCCAUCACUUUUUAUCAAAAAUUCAAACUGUCCAUCCAGCUCUACUUAAGUAUGUGAAGGAAAAGAUAAGCAAAGACUGAUUUGUCCACAAGGGGGUGCCAAAGUUGACACAGACAGAAAUUCCUCACAGGAGCUUUAAGUGAAACAACAACCUCCAAUUUCCAUCGCACCGGAACGGCUGCGCAAAGGCUGUAUCCACCGAAGGCAGCUGAUCGUAACCAUUCAAGUCAAUGUGUCAAAUUUCCACUGGCUUCUUUUCAUUCCGCUGCAGAUCAGCAGACUCCGCAGCUGAUUGCAAGAUUACUGUUUUUCUGGGUGCUACAACAUGCCGCAUAAAUUCAGCACAGAUUAGCCCGUGCUGGAAAGAAAGUCGGACACAGACACAAAAUAAAACAUUCAGCUUCUUUUCAAGAUAAAACACUACGGGCUCUAUUUUAGUGCCUGCCAGCGGCACGGCGGAGGGUGGUAUUUUCUGUCUGGUGGAGCCAGGUGUAAAGCCAGUUUGGUAUUUUCGUAGACUAAGGCGCACAGAGGUCCGCCGAGCUGGGCGUGGUGGCGCAGCAGGGGGAGGUGUCUACAGAAUAAGCUGCAAAGUGACAUUUUCGUGCCCGCCAGCGGCGUAGAAAGUCAGGUCCGCCGUGCCUACGCCACACCACCGGCGAGGCAUGAAAAUAGAGCCCUACGUGUUUCAGGCAGAUCAUAUUUCACACCAUGCAAAUUGGUGAGGACGAACAAGUGAAAGGUUUUUAGACAGCAUUUCACCUUGUUGACACCAUGGAAGAGGAGAUGCUGAUUCCACAAGUCUAGAAGUGGAUUUCCUCCUCUGAAGGGACACAAGCUACUGCUUUGAUGGUUGUGUGGCUGUCUUUAUAGAAACAGCUCAUUAUCGUGCGAUUGCACAUGAAUCUGCGGAUUCUUGUGAGUUCCCGCGAUUCCUGCUGUCCGUAAUCCGCCACGAAAUUCGCCUCACAAACAGGUCUGGUAGGAAGUGGGGGACGGUGCAAAUCGCUGCCAUUCUGUAGCAGAGCCAUUUCAGAUGUGGUGGAAAUUGUGGGUAAGAAUAUGACAUAAGAAAAAAAGAGGAUCAGACAAACUCACCUGAUUUGAAAAUUUUGAAUUAAGUUAAUUUGAGGAAAAAAUACUUAAAUACUGUAUGUCACUGAAGAUGUUGUUUUGUAGUUUUGUAGUGUGCACUCAUACAGUGAGGAAAAUCUCAUUAUUCUUAAUACUGCAUGUACCUGUGUGUAUGACUGACUGGGUGAGUUUAACAGGGGCACAGCUGGAUGUGUUUAGGCUGUUUGUCAUGUACAGUGCAGUGGUCUCUGCAGACAGACAGACUGACAGAUGAUAUAGCUUAAACAUUUCCAUUAACUUGUCAUGCUAUGUACUUUAAAGCUUGUCAUAACACUGCAAAGAGUGUGUGCCCCUUUGUGGUAAAAAUACUAGAGAUCAUUUGAAACUGUGUCCUAUAAGUGAAACUGCAUGUAAAGACUUUAUGGUUCUUGUUAAAGAAUCCAACCAAUGUUUUUGAGAGAGUCUUUUUUUGAUGAAGGCCAGUUCAGAUCAUCUGACAUCAGUGAGCCGGUUUCCUCAUGAAUGUUCAAUAAACAAUCACCCUUUAAGUCCUAUCUGUCCAGCAGAACACUUCUGCAGACACCUGGACAAGAGCAAAGAGUCACCAAGACCUUAUCUCUCGCUGGCUCUCCAUCUACAUCCACAUGACCAUGUGCUUGGAGCUAAAAGAAAACAAACAAACAAACAAAAAAAAACUGUUGAGCUCUGAUUUUGGUCUUCACCACCUUCUGAGUAAAAACUGAGUCUCUAUAGCAGCUGAAUGCAACUCAGUGUUAACAAACACCUGUUUGCUAUUUGUCACUAGUUACUGUACUUUACUUCUUUCCUAACUGUCUUUACAAUAUGAGGUUUGAAAUCUGACAUGCAGAGAGACAUGAAGUCAGAAACAGCAACAGAGAGACGGACAGGAGGUCAGCGUCAUGAGGAAUAGAAACGUUUUCCCUCUUUCUCUACAAACACAUCAGAACAGAAUGUUCCUGGACGAACGCCAGCAGCUGAAUGAAAACUCUCCCUCGCUCUCUCUCUUUCUGACUCUCUCUCCCUCACUCGCCCCUCCUUCACAGAGAUGAAUGGCUGACAGAGGAAUGGAGGAAAUAUCCUGCAGCCAGAUUCCUCAGUGUGUCACUGUGCCGUGUGUGUACGCGUGUGUGCGAGUCUGUGUGUGUCUUUGUGUCACUGUGCCAUGUAUGUGUGUGUGUCUCACUCCACAGAGAGUAUGUACUUUAAUGUAAAUGAGUGAUAAACUUAAUGUGACGGUAGAUUUGUCUUGCUGCAGGAUACUGACACACAUUCAUGCUUAUAUCUACAUGCACAGACAGUGACGUUCUCAGAAAGUUACACACACACUCACACUUAGAUACACACUCAGACACACACUCAGACUGAUAAGAUCUGUUGCUCUGAUUUUCCUCAUUCAUUACAGCUGGUAAGUGUCACUUAAACUGCAUUGAGUUUGUAAGCUGCAUCCGCAUUAUUGCACCAGAUCAAACAUGUGGCCUCUACAAAGAUCACUUUUGAAGGAGAGAAACAACCUGACAUCAUGUUAUAAAUAAUAAAUGAGACAAAUACUUAGCUGCAUUUCAAAGGCAGGAAAUAAAAGACUUUAAAGAGUGGGAGGCGGUUGGUCAUGACAAUGGCUACAACAAGACUUUUUGAGUUACUAAUGUGAAAAAAAUUAACUGUAUGUGUUGAGUUUGUUUCCAUUACCUGAAAAAAAAUAAACUGUGACUUCAAAUCAAUCAAACAAAAAUUCACAUUGAAGAGGAUUUUUGUGAACACAGUUUCCAAGUGAGCAUGUGCAAUAAAACAGUAACCAAUCCACAUGGCCUCCAACAUGAACUCGGGAGGGGGGCAGUUUAGGUUUAAGUUGUACAUGAGAGAAACCCCUCUCACCUCGGGCCACACCCCAACCCCCACAACCCCACAUUCACACCACUCAUAUCCCCACAUCCCACUCCCACACACAGUUUUUAGCUGUUUAUUUUUGCAGCUCUUACUAAUCAGACUCAUGUUUUGUCUUCUGAUUGGCUGCAGUAAUGAGGUCCUGCAGGUCAACAGUACAGAUCCUUAUCCCUUUGUGUGUGUGUGUGUGUGUGUGUGUGUGUGUGUGUGUGUGUGUGUGUGUGUGUGUGUGUGUGUGUGUGUGUGUGUGUGUGUGUGUGUGUGUGUGUGCGCGCGGGUGCAUGUAUUAUUGCCACACAGUACACAGUACAUUAACACUCACAUUUUUCUCUACUUACUUAAAUACCAGUGUGGCUUACCCAUAUGCAAACUCCAGUGUAUGUUUAAAAGCACACAUACACACAUGUCGACACAAACACACACACACACACACACACACACACACACACACACACACACACACUGAUUGAUGACCCAGUUAAUGUGGUUGUGUGAAAUUGAGGAGAGCAAGGCAGGUCUGACAUCAAUCCAUCAGCUCCUCUCACUGAGGGAAUACUCUGCUGCUAACUCAAACACACAUUGUCAAGGUUUGUAUGUGUGUGUGUGUGUGUGUGUGUGUGUGUGUGUGUCACACUCACACACACUCACAGAGAUGAAUGACUUUUGGAAAGUGCCACAUGUUCAUGUCUAAGCGUUCGGGGGAAAUGUUCCAGGUCAGAAGAUUAAACCAAACACAAAAGUUUUGUCACACACAUGAAUGUCGUUCAUUUUGGUCAUGUUUGAACAUGCAGUCACUCUAAUGAUCAUUAUCUCAUUGUUAGGCUUGGAUUGCGUCUCACAAAAACUGUCACAUCAUCUUUUCUCUGUAAAAACAGUGUUUGACCUUUGACCUCUUUAAGGAAACUCACACAUAAAGAGAGCGAGUAAAGACUUUUGCAGAUAACAGAUCUGUAGCAGGUUUUUUUUUCCACUGUGUUCACAUUCUGUCAAGUCAAAUGGUGAAAAAAAGAAAACCAAGUACGGCGUCUGUGAAGGCACUGUCUUUUAGGUUAUUGUUGUUUUUAAGUUUGAUUUAAGAAGUAGCGAGGUUGAAGUUCUUUAAACCAGGAUGAAACUUUGAAAACAACAGCUAUCUAAGAAAACAUCAGCGUAAUAAACGGUAGAGGUAUCAAAUCAAAUCAAACUUUAUUUAUAAAGCGCUUUUCCUACAUGAGUGUGACUCAAAGUGCUUUACAAGUUAAAAACAAAAACAAAAAACUGUCCCAGAUGCCCCCUUACCCCCCACCUGUACACACACACACACACACACGCACACACACGCCAACGCACUCACAUAUACACACAUAAAGACAACGGGCAUGAGGUAUAAGAUAACACAGCCAGAGGGUUAGUUGGUGUUAUCAUAAAGAAGCUGCAGGCUGAAGAGUCUUCGUUGAAUUUGAUUGACUUUUGCUACCAGACAAAAAAAAACUUAUUAGCACAAGAGACUGAGGGCAAAUUACCACCUAACAACACAGGCUUUGGUGUUUGACAGAUGAUUAAAUAUACAGUUGUGUACUUUUCUCAUCGUUGGCAUUAGACCUAAUUAUUUCUAUGACAGGGCUGGGCUCUCCAAUCAUCUCAAACUCACAAAACCAACUUUAUACACAAAAACAACUCUCUCAUGAAGGCAAAUGUUUAACAUAAGUUAAAUACAACACGUGAACCUUCCUUACCUGUCAGGACACAUAUAUGAAAUACCCUAUGGGCCAGUUAUAGUUUUUUUUUUUUUACCUUAUUUGAAAAAGGAGGAUUGUUUAAUAUUUGGUGUUCAGACUCUUUAAGGCAAAUAUUUGUUCGUAGCAGUGGAUGGUGCCACUUAACUACAUAGUGACUGACAGCCUAUGGACUGCUAUGGGGAGCUAUGAUUAUAGUUUGUUUAAGUAAUUUCACUAGCCGACUUGUCCUUGUUCCAGCAUGCAAGCACCUAGCAAGUAUUGAGUUAUUUGCAGAAACAGGUGGCUAAUGAAAUGUACGUUGAACAAUGUAAACACAUGUACAGCUCUGUAUCUUUAGUAUUGUACAAUAAGAUAGCUCAUUCUCUUUUUCCAUCCAUUGUUUUUCUGUUCCAGGAUCCAGGAUCUGGCCGCAGGGGCAACAGCCUAAGCGGAGAAGCCCAGACUUCCCUCUCUCCAGGCUCUUCCCGGGGGACAUUGAGAGCUGAGAGACAUGAUGUAACCAGCGUGUCCUGGGUCUUCCUCGUGGUCUCCUACCGGUGGGACAUGCCCUGAGCGCCUCAACAGCAAGGCGUCCAGGAGGCAUCCUGAUUAGAUGCCCAAGCCACUUUAUCAGACUCCUCUCAAUGCAGAGGAGCAGCGGUUCUACUCCGAGCCCCUCCCGAAUGACUGAGCUUCUCACCCCAUCUCUAAGGGCCGCUUGUACUCAUGAUCUUGUUCUUUUGGCCACUACCCACAGCUUAUGACCAUAGGUGAGGGUAGGAACAUAGAUCGACCGCGAUAUCAAGAGCUUUGCCUUUCAGCUCACCUCCCUCUUUACCAUGACCGAUCUGUGCAGCGGCCACAUCACUGCUGACGAAGCACCGACCCACCUGUUGAUCUCCUGCUCCAUCCUACCUUCAAUCAGGAACAAGACACCAAGAUACUUGAACUCCUCCACUUGGGGCAAGGUAGGGGCUGGAAGAUGGAUGGAUGGAUGGAUGGAUGGAUGGAUGGAUGGUGUUUACUACUUGGCUUCCGAGUAACACACCUAUGUCAUUUAAUUUCUGGAGGCCAGUUUCAGUCUGAUUAAGCCAUAUAUGAACAGGAGAAAAUCAUUAUGUAAGCCUGACAAUGAAAAUUGAAUUUAGUGAGAUUUAAGUUGGACUAAUGUGUUUAAAUGUAUUCGAAAGUAAAGUUUCAGUUGGACUUUUGCAAUAAAUUGACUUUUUGAACCGCAUACUUUUAAACAUACUGAGUCACUGUCCACAACAAAGUGACUCCCAAAGAUGGGCCAAGGUUUGUAUCCAGUGAGGCUGAGUUUUAAUGCUGAUUUUUGUGAGAUGACAAAGAACGUUCUAGCAGCCAAGGCACAGACUUUGAGGAAAGGGUACAUACUAAAUCAUGAGGACUCCACGUCCCCGAUUCUGCCUACAGAGGACAGAGACGUCUGGCUGGCCACAAACAUCUAUCAAACACGGUAUCAGGAAACUGUCAUCACUCUCACUCCCUCUUGGUCUCUUUUUUUCUCCAUCUCUGUCUCUCCAUUACUGUUCCUCCUCCCUUCUCCCUCUCUCAACCACUCACUUUACCCUGUGGCGUCUCAAAAGUAGUGCAGACUACCCGUGAAGUACAUCUGGUACAAGCUAGUACUUGCCCAAGAGUAGCUGUCAUGGGUUAGUGUGAUGCUGCCACUUAGCUCUGGGGGUCUUUUAGCCUUUAAUAUGCGAUAAAAAGUCUGACAGUAACAUUAGAUAACCCCACACUCUCGCAGCAUGGCACCUGCACCUUUCUUCUCUGGCUCUAAUUGCAUCACAGCUUUAUUUCUCUGCUGCAGCCAUUUUUCCUCCAAAUCCAGACCUGUUUUUGGUAUCUGACAAAUACCGUCAUCAUAUGCAUAUGAAAGUCAUUUUUUUAAAACCUCUAAAACAACCAGAUCCAUAUUUUGAUACACUUUUAUUCAUGUUGAGUAUAACUGUUAUCAUUUGGACUCUCUCUCAGUACAUCACACUCAGCUGACCAUUUAUAAGUAUAAAAACGACUCCAGAAGUAACUUUGGUGCAUAAAUUCAUGUCUUACUGAUUUGAUAUAUUUUCCAACACAUCAUUUCUUUGGGGUUUCCCAUCUGCUAGCUGCUAUUUAAGUACAGACAGUGUUGGUUGAGACUCUGCUGCUAGGCUAUAUGUUGUGUAGUUAGAGCUCCAGUAUUGCGUGCUGCUGCGGAGUCUGAUCUCAUCGUGUGAACGUCUCUGCAGAGGAAAAGCUGCAGCUGUCAGAUUAAUCCAGCGCAGGAAGCAUCCUGUGAAAUCUGGUGGGAGAAAAAGUAUCACGUCUCACUAAAUGGAAUUACUCAACGCUGUGUGGUAACUCAACUCCACCUGUUUCCAACGUUCCAACCAUUCAGUCCCACAGCUUUCAAUUUAACGAGAAAUAACAGCUCAGAUAAACACUUUUAGACUGAUUUCAGAGUCUCAGUUUCACUUUUUUGCAUGACAAAGUUAAAAUUACUCUGACAUGAACAGACAGAAACACUGAAGGGACAAAGAUAAACUCACCAAAACAGGAAAAUACAAAAACCUGUGGAAGUUCAACAAUGACUAAAAAAUCUGCCUGACUGAGAGUCUGUGCAGGGACAGUGCACACAAGGGAUUCAUUUUAUAUGGCCCACAUCAUCUUUCCAUUGGUCACUAUCCAGACACACACACACUCAUAUACACACACAUUUGUUGUUGUGCUGAGUGUGCACAGAAAGUCUGGGAAAAGUCCCCGAGCCAAGGACAAGAGGACUCAGAAUCAUUAUCACCUCCACAUCUGCUCGCUUCACUCAAGCCGAGACUCCCUCUGUGCUAAUUCCUGUUAGAUAACUUCACACACACAUUCACACACGCACACACACACACACACACACACACACACACUGAGAGAAAAAAUACAUAUUAGGCAGAGACAUAGCAACACUAGGGGGCAGUGUAACACAAAGCAUGAGGAGCGUUAAUGGUGUUGAUCGCUCACAGGAAACUUUUUAACCCUUUAAGACAUUCAGUUCACAAUCUUUUUCUUUCCACUUCCAGCCAUACAGUUUUGAUAAACUAGCAAUCAAGACAUUUUUAUCAAUCCUUAGCUGACUCUGUUAGUCUCAUGAAGCUGCUGAAGCAGCUUAAGUUCUGCAGAACUCACUCUCUCCAACAAAAGGUUUGAUAUUUGCUUUCUGGAGCCUCUGAACACAUACACUCUAUAAAGUUUCUUGAAAAUUUGAAGACCUUUAGGCCCUGAAACUUGCAGGAAAUGUCUGUUCACACAUCUGCUUUACAAUGGGAAAAUGUGGACUCAUACAGGAGGAGGAGCCAUCUACAGUAAUGGGAAGGUAAUAUCACCUCAAAAUGCAUUACAGACAUUUCCACGACAUAAACAGAGCAGUUGAAAAUAACCAGCAUCUGUGGUGAAUGGUCAACAGUGUAAAGACACAAAAUUCCACUGAACAUGAAAAGCAUUAACUUGCUGUUGUUACUGUUCUUGAUUUAAACCAGGGUUCACAUAUCAGCUCAUCUUGGAUUCAUGCUGUCAUUUUACAAAUCAGCUGGCAGGUAGAGGCCUGCAUAAAGUUGAGGAGAAUAAUUUGGUGUUUUGUGUUUACACAUGCAGCCAACCCUUAAAAAAAGUUGGGCAAUUCUCAGGAGUGCGGAGAGCGUGUUAGUGAGAGAGGGGGAGCUUUAUUAUCUGCUCCAUUACAUAAAGGGCACAGAGAUAGACUGACACAUCCUCUGUGAUAGAAUCACUGACUGUGCACGGAGAGGUUGGCUCAAGGUCCCCUCUCAUUCUCCCUCUCUCUGUAGGUGUGUGUGUGUGUGUGUGUGUGUGUGUGUGUGUGUGUGUGUGUGUGUGUGUGUGUGUGUGUGUGUGUGUGUGUGUGUGUGUGUGUGUGUGUGUGCGUACUGGGGGAUGGGAUGGCGUUGCAAUAAAGUGAGUGUUUAGCAGAUCAGCAAGUGAUCCUUGAAGUGGCUUCACAGGA